CCUACGGGUGGCUGCAGUGGGGAAUAUUGCACAAUGGGCGCAAGCCUGAUGCAGCCAUGCCGCGUGUGUGAAGAAGGCCUUCGGGUUGUAAAGCACUUUCAGCGGGGAGGAAGGCGGUGAGGUUAAUAACCUCAUCGAUUGACGUUACCCGCAGAAGAAGCACCGGCUAACUCCGUGCCAGCAGCCGCGGUGAUACGGAGGGUGCAAGCGUUAAUCGGAAUUACUGGGCGUAAAGCGCACGCAGGCGGUCUGUCAAGUCGGAUGUGAAAUCCCCGGGCUCAACCUGGGAACUGCAUUCGAAACUGGCAGGCUAGAGUCUUGUAGAGGGGGGUAGAAUUCCAGGUGUAGCGGUGAAAUGCGUAGAGAUCUGGAGGAAUACCGGUGGCGAAGGCGGCCCCCUGGACAAAGACUGACGCUCAGGUGCGAAAGCGUGGGGAGCAAACAGGAUUAGAUACCCCGGUAGUC
rnacentral:rRNA from 1 species